rnacentral:rRNA from 1 species
UACAGAGGGUGCGAGCGUUAAUCGGAAUUACUGGGCGUAAAGAGCGCGUAGGCGGUCAUGUAAGUCAGGUGUGAAAGACCUUAGCUUAACUAAGGAACUGCAUUUGAUACUGCAUAACUAGAGUAUGGUAGAGGAAAGUGGAAUUUCCGGUGUAGCGGUGAAAAUGCGUAGAUACCGGAAGGAACACCAGUGGCGAAGGCGGCUUUCUGGACCAAUACUGACGCUGAGGCGCGAAAGCGUGGGGAGCAAACAGG